rnacentral:rRNA from 1 species
UAAACUAGGAUUAGAUACCCUAUUAUUUUAAUGUAAAAUCUUUGCCUGGGUAAUAAGUUUUUAAAACCUAAAGAAUUUGGCAGUGUCUUAAUCUAUUCAGAGGAAUUUGUCUCGUUAUCGAUAAUCCUCGUUUUAUCUUGCUUUAGUUAUUGGUAUGUAUAUCGUCGUUAUAAGUUUAUUUUUUUAGAAUUAUUUACUUGAUUUUUUAUUUAAAAUUAUUUCAGAUCAAGGUGCAGCUUAUAUUUAAGUGUAGAUGAGUUACAAUAUUAUUUUAAUAUAUGGUAAUUAUUUUUAAAAUUUAGUUUAAAUUGGAUUUGUUAGUAAUUUUAAUAAUAGUGUUAAUAUGAUUUUAGUUCUAAGAUGAGUACACAUCG